rnacentral:tRNA from 1 species
GGGAUAACUCAGUGGUAGAGUACUUGCCUAUUAUACAUAAGGUCCUGGGUUCAAUAUCCAGCACCCA